rnacentral:misc_RNA from 1 species
GUUCUUACAGAGAAAACACAUUUUCGAAAAUUAAAAAAAUUAACUUUUCCCAAUGCUUGAUGUUUUCUCCAGUAAAUCAGUAAUUUAAUUACUUUGGAAGGGUAUAGUAGACGGGAUAAAUUCACAAUGGAGAAUGGAUCUACCCAUGGUACAGAAUGUUUAGAAGGAUCAAGGCUACCAACAUAUACCCGCAUCAUAAAUAAAGGCCCAUUACCCUAUAACUACCUUGAUGUCUCUUAUGACAUUCAGAAUGGAGGUGUGACUUUACCUGCUGGCAGAUUUAAGACAGUCAUCCUACAAGCCUUGAAGAAUAUCUUUGGAACUGCAGGUGGAAGUUUACAAACACUGGAUCUCUUGAAAUAUGAUCUUGAAUCAAGGAGGGGAAUUGUUAGAGUCAAACACAGUGACAUGGUGAAGGUGUGGAGUUCCCUGUCAUUCUAUACUGAUACCAUAGAUAUCAAUGGCACUAGAGGUGUCUUCAGAAUACAUCAGGUCUCGUCCCAUCUGAUGUCAUUUGCAGGUAACAGUCGGCUUUUAACAGACACGUAGCAUUUCAACAAUACUCAGUUAAAGUUAUUAAUACAGUAUGUCUCUGGUUCACCACUGUUCUGUUGUAAUUGUACUGUGAUGAUGACACCAAGACAGAUUGUCGGAGAACUUGGAGAUGUUCAACAGUGAAUAUAAAGUUCUUGAAAAGGUGUUCACC